rnacentral:rRNA from 1 species
GACGUAGGGUGCGAGCGUUGUCCGGAAUUAUUGGGCGUAAAGAGCUUGUAGGCGGUUUGUCGCGUCUGCUGUGAAAUCUCAAGGCUCAACCUUGAGCUUGCAGUGGGUACGGGCAGACUAGAGGUAGGUAGGGGAGAUCGGAAUUCCUGGUGUAGCGGUGAAAUGCGCAGAUAUCAGGAGGAACACCGGUGGCGAAGGCGGAUCUCUGGGCCUUACCUGACGCUGAGGCGCGAAAGCUAGGGGAGCAAACAGG